UAUCACAAAGGGAAUAUGCUGGGAUUGAUUUUGGGGUCAUUGCCUCAAAAUUUUAGGAAUUAGGGGCAAAAAAAGGGGCAAAAAACAAGCCUUUUUCUAGUUUCAUGACAAUAACUUGUGUGUAAGUGUAUGGAUCUUUCUGAAAUUGUACUACAAGGUUCCAUAUCACAAAGGGAAAGCUGGGUUUGAGUUUGGGGGUAAUGGCCUAAACAUUUAGGAAUUUGGGGCCAAUAAGGGGCCAAAAAAACAAGCAUUUUUACAGUUUUCAGACAAUAACUUGUGUUCAAGUGUAUGGAUCUGUCUGAAAUUGUACUGCAAGGUACCAUACGACAAAGGGAAGGCUGGGAUUGAGUUAGUGGGUGAUGAAUCAUAAGGGGGAUCAAAAAAUUAGGGAGGAUUUUUUUUCCCUUUUAUUUUUUUUUUUCCUUUUUUUCCUUUUUUUUUUUCUUUAAAAUUUUCCAUUUUAAGUUGGUUAUUUUUAUACGACCACAAAAAGAUUUUUGUGGUCGUAUAUUGGUAUGAUGUUGGUGUCGUCGUCAUCAUCCGAAGACACAUUAGUUUUCGCACUCUAACUUUAGUUUAAGUGAAUGGAUCUCUAUGAAAUUUUAUCAUAAGGUUCAAUACCACAAAAGGAAGGUGGGGAUUGAUUUUGGGGGUUAUGGUACCAACAGUUCAGGAAUUAGGGGCCAAAAAUAAGCAUUUUUGUAACUUCCAGACAUAACUUGUGUGUAAGUGUAUGGAUCUCUCUGAAAUUGUACCACAAGGUUCCAUAUCUCAAAGGGAACGUGGGAUUGAUUUUGGGGGUAAAUGCCUCCAAAUUUUAGGAAUUAGGGGCCAAAAAGGGGCAAAAAACAAGCAUUUUUCUAGUUUCAUGACAAUAACUUGUGUGUAAGUGUAUGGAUCUCUCUGACAUUGUAUCACAAGGUUCCAUAUCACAAAGGGAAUGCUGGGAUUGAUUUUGGGGGUAAUUGCCUUCAAAUUUUAGGAAUUAGGGGCAAAAAAAGGGGCAAAAAACAAGCAUUUUUCUAGUUUCAUGACAAUAACUUGUGUGUAAGUGUAUGGAUCUUUAUGAAAUUUUACUACAAGGUUCCAUAUCACAAAGGGAAAGCUUGAAUUGAGUUUGGGGGUAAUUGCCCAAAAAGUUUAGGAAUAAGGGGCCAAAAAGGGGCAAAAAAUAAGCAUUUUUCUAGUUUCAAGACAAUAACUUGUGUUCAGGUGUAUGGAUCUCUCUGAAAUUGUACUGCAAGGUACCAUACCACAAAGGGAGCUGGGAUUGAUUUUGGGGGUAAUACCAUCAAAAUUUUAGGAAUUAGGGGCCAUAAAAGGGCCAAAAAACAAGCAUUUUUCUACUUUCAGGACAAUUACUUGUGUGUAAGUGUAUGGAUCUUUCUGAAAUUGUACUACAAGGUUCCAUAUCACAAAGGGAAAGCUGGGUUUGAGUUUGGGGGUAAUGGCCUAAACAUUUAGGAAUUUGGGGCCAAUAAGGGGCCAAAAAAACAAGCAUUUUUACAGUUUUCAGGCAAUAACUUGUGUUCAAGUGUAUGGAUCUGUCUGAAAUUGUACUGCAAGGUACCAUACGACAAAGGGAAGGCUGGGAUUGAGUUAGUGGGUGAUGAAUCAUAAGGGGGAUUUAAAAAUUAGGGGGGAUUUUUUUUUCCCUUUUAUUUUUUUUUUUUCCUUUUUUUUCCUUUUUUUUUUUCUUUAAAAUUUUCCAUUUUAAGUUGGUUAUUUUUAUACGACCACAAAAAGAUUUUUGUGGUCGUAUAUUGGUAUGAUGUUGCUGUCGUCGUCAUCGUCCGAAGACACAUUAGUUUUCGCACUCUAACUUUAGUUUAAGUGAAUGGAUCUCUAUGAAAUUUUAUCAUAAGGUUCAAUACCACAAAAGGAAGGUGGGGAUUGAUUUUGGGGGUUAUGGUACCAACAGUUCAGGAAUUAGGGGCCAAAAAUAAGCAUUUUUGUAACUUCCAGACAUAACUUGUGUGUAAGUGUAUGGAUCUCUCUGAAAUUGUACCACAAGGUUCCAUAUCACAAAGGGAAUGCUGGGAUUGAUUUUGGGGGUAAUUGCCUUCAAAUUUUAGGAAUUAGGGGCAAAAAAAGGGGCAAAAAACAAGCAUUUUUCUAGUUUCAUGACAAUAACUUGUGUGUAAGUGUAUGGAUCUUUAUGAAAUUUUACUACAAGGUUCCAUAUCACAAAGGGAAAGCUUGAAUUGAGUUUGGGGGUAAUUGCCCAAAAAGUUUAGGAAUAAGGGGCCAAAAAGGGGCAAAAAAUAAGCAUUUUUCUAGUUUCAAGACAAUAACUUGUUCAGGUGUAUGGAUCUCUCUGAAAUUGUACUGCAAGGGUACCAUACCACAAAGGGAGCUGGGAUUGAUUUUGGGGGUAAUACCAUCAAAAUUUUAGGAAUUAGGGGCCAUAAAAGGGCCAAAAAACAAGCAUUUUUCUACUUUCAGGACAAUUACUUGUGUGUAAGUGUAUGGAUCUUUCUGAAAUUGUACUGCAAGGUUCCAUAUCACAAAGGGAAAGCUGGGUUUGAGUUUGGGGGUAAUUGCCCUAAACGUUUAGGAAUUUGGGGCCAAAAAGGGGCCAAAAAUAAGCAUUUUUCUAGUUUCCAGACAAUAACUUGUGUUAAAGUGUAUGGAUCUCUCUGAAAUUGUACUGCAAGGUACCAUACCACAAAGGGAAGGCUGGGAUUGAUGAUGGGGGUAAUUGCCUCAAAAUUUUAGGAAUUAGGGGCCAAAAAGGGGCAAAAAACAAGCAUUUUUCUAGUUUCAGGACAAUAACUUGUGUGUAAGUGUAUGGAUCUUUCUGAAAUUGUACUACAAGGUUCCAUAUCACAAAGGGAAAGCUGGGUUUGAGUUUGGGGGUAAUUGCCCUAAACGUUUAGGAAUUUGGGGCCAAAAAGGGGCCAAAAAACACAUUUUUACAGUUUCCAGACAAUAACUUGUGUUCAAGUGUAUGGAGCUCUCUGAAA